CCGAGGGCGGCGGGCGGCCGCGCCGGGGCGGCGCGCGCGCGUUUUCCUAGUUUGUGCAUGGUCAACAAAGAAAUAUGGAGUGUCUUGGCUGAAUCGUCAUACAGACAAGAUCAUGAUGAUCCUGGGUACUGCUAUGUUGCCCACACUGGCCUCAAACUCCUGGACUCAAGAGAUACUCCUGCCUCAGUCUCCUGAAUAGCUGGGACUGCAGACAAGCACUACCGAGCCCCGCUCCAUCAGUUCUUUAUAUUUCAACAGAUUGGAAUGUAGAAGGCAUGAGAGAAGAGAAU